rnacentral:rRNA from 1 species
GACGAACGCUGGAGGCGUGCUUAACACAUGCAAGUCGAACGAAGUGGCGAACGGGUGAGUAACGCGUAAUCAACCUGCCCUUCAGAGGGGGACAACAGUUGGAAACGAAUGCUAAUAACGAAUACCGAAGGAGGGGAUGGCGUCUGAUUAGCUAGUUGGAGGGGUAACGGCCCACCAAGGCGAUGAUCAGUAGCCGGUCUGGGAGGAUGAACGGCCACAUUGGGACUGAGAAACGGCCCAGACUCCUACGGGAGGCAGCAGUGGGGAAUCUUCCGCAAUGGACGAAAGUCUGACGGAGCAACGCCGCGUGAGUGAUGACGGCCUUCGGGUUGUAAAGCUCUGUUAAUCGGGACGCGGUACCGGAAUAGAAAGCCACGGCUAACUACGUGCCAGCCGCCGCGGUAAUAC